rnacentral:rRNA from 1 species
CACGUAGGGUGCGAGCGUUGUCCGGAAUUAUUGGGCGUAAAGAGCUCGUAGGCGGUGUGUCGCCUCGGCCGUGAAAACCUGCAGCUUAACUGUGGGCGUGCGGUCGAUACGGGCAUGACUGGAGUUCGGCAGGGGAGACUGGAAUUCCUGGUGUAGCGGUGAAAUGCGCAGAUAUCAGGAGGAACACCGGUGGCGAAGGCGGGUCUCUGGGCCGAUACUGACGCUGAGGAGCGAAAGCGUGGGGAGCGAACAGG